rnacentral:rRNA from 1 species
AGUGAACGCUGGCGGUAGGCCUAACACAUGCAAGUCGAACGGCGGCACAGUAGAGCUUGCUCUUACGGGUGGCGAGUGGCGGACGGGUGAGGAAUACAUCGGAAUCUACUUUUUCGUGGGGGAUAACGUAGGGAAACUUACGCUAAUACCGCAUACGACCUACGGGUGAAAGCAGGGGAUCUUCGGACCUUGCGCGAUUGAAUGAGCCGAUGUCGGAUUAGCUAGUUGGCGGGGUAAAGGCCCACCAAGGCGACGAUCCGUAGCUGGUCUGAGAGGAUGAUCAGCCACACUGGAACUGAGACACGGUCCAGACUCCUACGGGAGGCAGCAGUGGGGAAUAUUGGACAAUGGGCGCAAGCCUGAUCCAGCCAUACCGCGUGGGUGAAGAAGGCCUUCGGGUUGUAAAGCCCUUUUGUUGGGAAAGAAAAGCAGCAGGUUAAUACCCCGCUGUUCUGACGGUACCCAAAGAAUAAGCACCGGCUAACUUCGUG